AUUGAACGCUGGCGGCAGGCUUAACACAUGCAAGUCGAGCGGGGUGAUGGUGCUUGCACUAUCACUUAGCGGCGGACGGGUGAGUAAUGCUUAGGAAUCUGCCUAUUAGUGGGGGACAACAUCUCGAAAGGGAUGCUAAUACCGCAUACGUCCUACGGGAGAAAGCAGGGGAUCACUUGUGACCUUGCGCUAAUAGAUGAGCCUAAGUCGGAUUAGGUAGUUGGUGGGGUAAAGGCCUACCAAGGCGACGAUCUGUAGCGGGUCUGAGAGGAGGAUCCGCCACACUGGGACUGAGACACGGCCCAGACUCCUACGGGAGGCAGCAGUGGGGAAUAUUGGACAAUGGGGGGAACCCUGAUCCAGCCAUGCCGCGUGUGUGAAGAAGGCCUUAUGGUUGUAAAGCACUUUAAGCGAGGAGGAGGCUCUUUUGGUUAAUACCCAAGAUGAGUGGACGUUACUCGCAGAAUAAGCACCGGCUAACUCUGUGCCAGCCGCCGCGGUAA
rnacentral:rRNA from 1 species